UUUAACUGAAGAGUUUGAUCAUGGCUCAGAUUGAACGCUGGCGGCAGGCUUAACACAUGCAAGUCGAGCGGGGAAAAGUAGCUUGCUACUU
rnacentral:rRNA from 1 species